UUCAUUUUGUAUGAAGGCUACUCAAGCAAAAGAUGCAUAGAAAUUGUUUGACUUCUCGCUAAUAAACUUAAUAUAUACUAUACAUGGUCAGCACCCACUCUGCAUGUCUCCCAAAAAUUAAAUACUAGAUGGGGUCAACACUCACCACACCCAAGAUUAAACACUUAAUGUGGUAUUUAAACUCCAUAGCUUUCCAACACCACAAAGGGGACACCCCAAUGUCAAAACCCAUUAAGGCUUGUUUCUCUAACCUAUUACAUGGAAAAUGUACA
rnacentral:lncRNA from 1 species